rnacentral:lncRNA from 1 species
UCCAUUGAUACUGAUUGAAGAAGGUAAUGUAGUUUGCCUAUAUCUGCUAUUCCUUGAGGUUAUUCACAUAAAGGUCAGAAACUAGUAAGAUUUGAGGUGAAAUCUUUCAUUAAAAGACUCCUUCCAUUUCAAAUCUGAAGAGUAAGCUUCUUGACAACACAAUCUAUAUCUCCGAGAUUCUUAACAAGCUAUUAAAAUAAACAACAAACCAAAAGAGACAGUGUAUUAGUCUAACUGAAUGCAACUUUAUAAGUCUAAUAGAAUAUUUAAAUUAGUCAGCAGAGACUUUGAUGUGUGGUUUCAAAUUUAAGCAAUCAAAUAAUUAAAAAUUAACUAGGAUAAAGCUUUAGACUACGUAAUGGAUUUGGAACACCAUAUAAUGUAAAACAAGACCCUUUUCUUUUUCUUCUUUACUUAUUCUCAAUAGAAAAAGUAAAAAAGGUGAAGUUAUUCAGAAAAGGUUGCCACAUGCCAUACAUGGCUGUACUGUAAAACACCAAACGGGCAAUUUGGAAAAUCUAUUAGUAUUCUGGGUUGGACUCAACUCUAACCUUGAACUCAAUUAACACACAAGUUUUUUAUAUCAAACAGUUUUAAAUCUUCUCUUGGUUAGAAACUACCUCCAAAAAGUAUGCAUUCAAAUCCAUAGUCAAGCAAACAACAAAAACACAGAUAAGAAGCUUUCCCCAACAACUACUGAAACAAAGCCAAAAGGUAAUAAAAAAAAAUAUAGAACAGAAAGAGCUGAAAAUCACUUCUCAAAGCUAAACAUGCCAUGACUCUGAAUGAACUCCAACAACAACCCUUUUUCACAAACUCAAUAAGAACAACCAUUGAAGAAAAAAAAUACGUUUUCUCUCUGGUAACUAAAAGGAGUUGGAGCACCAUCAUCAACUUAGCAACCAGAGACUCUUCGUGAUAUCAACCAAUAACACAAAUCAGGAAAAGGGAGCAUUUCAACAAUUUCAGAGACUCUCACCUCUGCAAAAAGCCUGAUCUGAAACAAGAUUACUCAGAACCACCGAUGCCCCAGUUGGAUUUAAAGCUCAAACUAACUUAGAAUCUGUCAUGCACAUACUCAUAUGUGUCAUACAAAGAGAUUAUGUUUGGAAUUAGAGAUUAUAUCUUAGAACACAUGGCAAGUCACAAAGGUUGUAGUUGGAUGCUAUGGUCCCUAUGAACUCUGAAUUGCACUUUUGCCAUUUUAUAUGGACGCCAACAUAGAAAGUCUCCUCUUGUAACAAAUUACUUUUUUGACUCUAACAUAGCACUUAAUUUACAAAGACUUUGAUUACUU